UACACCACCAGUAAGGCAAACUGGGACAAAAAAAAUCCAACCAAAGAGUUCACCUGCCGUGUUGGAGUCGGACCUAAACAUAUUUUUAAAACAGUGUCCAGUGCCCAUGAUGAUUUUUGUGAUCUGAGUUGGGAUGAUAUCACCGCUGAAGACGAUUUUGGCAGCCUGUGGUCCACAGCUUCCUCCUUCAUAUUCCUUUUCAUAUUCUCUCUCUUCUAUAGCAUUAUUAUCAGCCUUCUUAAGAUAAAGAGAUCAUAACGAAUGGGAUGGAAUGGGUGCGCUUCAUUUCUACGCUAUUUUUAAAAUGUUUUUCAUUUUCUUUUUAUGCACAUAAUCAUUUAUUUGUUAUAUUAAAUGCCUGUCAUAUAUAAAUAGUCAAUUAACACAUCUGUAAAAUGUGUAAAAUAGAUCAAUAAAAUGAAACUGCAUAUUA